rnacentral:lncRNA from 1 species
CACAUUUGCUUUCAGCUUGUAUGCAAUGCCAAACAAUUAAAGAGAAGAUUAAAUUCACAUCCUUCAUGGCACAGAACACGAACUGAUGUAAUUCUGUAUCUUGGUGCUCUUCCUUUCCUGCCUACUGAAUGGCAAGUGUGAAUUGAAGUUCGGCAAAUUCAAGAGGAUUGCUGUGGCCUGCCCAGUCUACUGUCUAUGAAGAUACCUAUGGAUGGCUGUGGUGGAAGAGCAGGUGAACUGAAAACACACUGCUGCACUCAGGCCUUGGAGAAAUGCUUCUUUGAGUCUUUGGAAACAGAAAGAAUAAGGUGUGCAAAGACCCACACUGGAGGCUCCUGGACUAGCUCACCUGCUCUUCUGACAUAUUUGAA